GACGAACGCUGGCGGCGUGCUUAACACAUGCAAGUCGAGCGGUAAGGCCUUUCGGGGUACACGAGCGGCGAACGGGUGAGUAACACGUGGGUGAUCUGCCCUGCACUUCGGGAUAAGCCUGGGAAACUGGGUCUAAUACCGGAUAUGACCUCAGGUUGCAUGACUUGGGGUGGAAAGAUUUAUCGGUGCAGGAUGGGCCCGCGGCCUAUCAGCUUGUUGGUGGGGUAAUGGCCUACCAAGGCGACGACGGGUAGCCGACCUGAGAGGGUGACCGGCCACACUGGGACUGAGACACGGCCCAGACUCCUACGGGAGGCAGCAGUGGGGAAUAUUGCACAAUGGGCGAAAGCCUGAUGCAGCGACGCCGCGUGAGGGAUGACGGCCUUCGGGUUGUAAACCUCUUUCAGCAGGGACGAAGCGCAAG
rnacentral:rRNA from 2 species